GCGGCCGCUCUGCCCUCACCUGAGCCUGAGGUUAGCCAUGAACUCGGGCAUGGAGACGGUGUCCAUCAGCACGAAGUCCGCCUUGCCGAACUCCAGGCUCUCCUGCUCCGCCAUGGCGCCGGCGCUGGGGCUCAGGAUUAUUGCAGAUAUCUUGAGCACGGGACCAUCCUUUUGGCAUCCACCAAGUAGCUAUUGUACCACCUUACAUAUAUAAAUAUAAAAUCCAUACUGGUUCAAUGGAAUGGAGUGAGUUAGACAGUCUCCCUCUGUCACCCAGGCUGGAGUGUAACAGUGCGAUCACAGCUCACUGCAACCUUGAACUCCUGGGCUGAAGCAAUCCUCCCGCCUAGCCUCCUGAGUAGCUAGGACUACAGGUGUAUGACACCAUGGCCAGCUAUUUUUUUAAAAAUAAAUUACUUUCUAAGGUAUCUAUACUUAUUCAGUCCUGUGUUUCUGUUAGGACCAUCUUCUAUUACAAAAUCUACCAGGAAAUCUAGAGGCCUCCAAGGACCUGGCUGGACUUCAACUCUGGCUGAGUUUAGAUGAGUAAACCAGACUGAAGGACCUUGCCAGGGCCUGCUUCAGCUGCCAGCCACCCACACUUGCCAAGAGAAAGGAAAGUGUCUUGGUCACCUCCUGAGGGACUGCCUCCUCCAUCAGAAAACCAUACCAACACCCAGCACCAGCAGAACUGGGCUGCAUUUGACUACCGUUAGCAGCUCUCCUUCAGAAGAAGGAGAUCCACCUGUCUGGAUCACAGUGUCCUCAUUCGUGGAAUAAAGGCUCUGGAAUAAGCUUUACAUGCUUGGAUGCAGCUGUCUCUAGAAUGUCAAAUGGUCUCUCUUCAACUGGAAUGACAAGAGCUGAAAGAAAUGUGCGACCAUGAGGAUACCAUAACCUAUGAAUGACGUGGUGAGACUGGAAACCCAAAAUGAUGAGACCAUCAAGCUUCAGAAGAUCAUGUGACAAGGUUUUCAGUCAGUUCUAGGUGAAGACACCACCCCUGGCCAUCAACACGCCACCCUGUCUCCACCAGACAGAGUACGGUGAGAGUUCCAUGAUCUCUAAUAGGUAGGGACUAUGCCCCAAGUUGGCAUGAAGCUGUUACAGUUCCUCAUGUCUCUUAGCGGGAGAUGAGGCAGGAAAAUAGGGUCUGGAGGAAGGGAACCUAAGGGUUCACCCUGACUUCCUACAACCAAAUCAAAAGGAGAACCCCCAGCUUUCCACACCUAAGUAACAGAACCAGACACUACUCCCUUCGCAACCCCAACUCCCCACUUUCUGCUUGGCAGAUGGAAAAUUGAAAGUACCUUUGAUUGGCUUUCUGCAACCAAUCAGACAUUUGCAUAGGAGUGUAACUUUGCAACUUCACUUCAGCCUCUGACUGGUUGUGGAAAACAACCAGUCAGACUGAUUGUGGGGCCAAGUCUUCUUUUGCAUAGGAGUGCAACUUUGUAACUUCACUCUAGCCUCUGACUGCUUGUUUUCUGCAUAGGAGUGUAACCUUUGUAACUUCACUUCAGCCUCUGGUUGCUUUCCAUGACCAAUCGGACUGAUUAUGGGCCAUCACUUCAUUUACAUGGGGUGAACACCAAGGGGCCUAUGGGAAACUCUAGCCAGUAUUUGAUUCUGCAGAUACCCAGAAGAUUCUGCAACAGGGGCUUUUGAACCCCUGUGCUCAGGCCUGCUCCCAAACUGUGGAAUGUACUUUCGUUUUCAAUAAAUACCUGCUUUUAUUGCUUCA